AACGUUACUGUUUCAAAUUGGGAAUCGCGUCUGUCCGUUUCUAGCUGUCCCGUUUCUGGAUUCCCCUUGUUAUCUUCGUCGCUGCGACUCCAGAUCCCCCUCGUCUUCUUCGUCGCUGCGACUCUCUCUGGUCGGAGAGGUGGCGAUUGUGUUCGAGGUUUCGCUGGAUCCGGAUUUCGUCGGGCCGCCAUCGAUUUUGCUGCCGAUUGGUUUGGGCUGUGCAACGACUGGAGUUUUGGGAGGAAUCGGUGCUGAUGAGGACGAGUGGAGCAGGCAGCCUGCCACUACUCAUCAUCUCAUUCUUGGGUGCAGAGAUCCAAGGUUUGGAGGAGGGUUUGGAGGAGGGUACCCACUGAAGGUUGUCAGCAAGAAAAAGUACCAUCUUAUCAUGUUAAAGGUGCAGAGAGGAAGGAUGCUAUGUUUACAACCCACCCCAUCAGCCUUGGGCUUGCUUAUGCCGCAAAGAGAAUGGGGCCUACAUCGGUGAGUUCCUCCUGUAAAGAAUAAUCAGAGGCGCAGAUGGUGGAAGCACCAGGCCCUAUCUUGGGUCCUUGGUGAAUGCGUGUUUCUCAAUGGAUGGAAAAGUGAAGGGUCGAGAUGGCGGACUAGAGGGGGGGUGAAUAGUCCUUUCUAAAAAUUAUUACGCCGGCUAACCGAAACAAAUGCGAAAUUAAAACUAUCGGUCUAGCCAA